GACGAACGCUGGCGGCGUGCUUAACACAUGCAAGUCGAACGGUGAAGCGAGUGCUUGCACUCGUGGAUCAGUGGCGAACGGGUGAGUAACACGUGAGUAACCUGCCCAUCACUCUGGGAUAAGCACUGGAAACGGUGUCUAAUACUGGAUACGACCAACCCUUGCAUGGGGUGUUGGUGGAAAGAUUUAUCGGUGAUGGAUGGACUCGCGGCCUAUCAGCUUGUUGGCGGGGUAAUGGCCCACCAAGGCGACGACGGGUAGCCGGCCUGAGAGGGUGACCGGCCACACUGGGACUGAGACACGGCCCAGACUCCUACGGGAGGCAGCAGUGGGGAAUAUUGCACAAUGGGCGAAAGCCUGAUGCAGCGACGCCGCGUGAGGGAUGACGGCCUUCGGGUUGUAAACCUCCUUCAGCAGGGAAGAAGCGAAAGUGACGGUACCUGCAGAAGAAGCACCGGCUAACUACGUG
rnacentral:rRNA from 1 species